CGCUCCAGGCGGGAUUCGAACCCGCAUCUCUUAGCAAGAAUGAGUGUCACCAGUUCCACCACCAGAGC